AUUGAACGCUGGCGGCAGGCCUAACACAUGCAAGUCGAGCGAGCGGCGGACGUGUGAGCAAUGUAUGGGGAUCUGCCCGAUAGAGGGGGAUAACUACUGGAAACGGUGGCUAAUACCGUAUACUAGAGGAUGAACCCAUAUGGGAUUAUCUAGUAGGUGGGGUAAAGGCUCACCAAGGCGACGAUCUCUACCUGGUCUGAGAGGAUGAACAGCCACACUGGAACUGAGACACGGCCCAGACUCCUACGGGAGGCAGCAGUGGGGAAUAUUGGACAAUGGGCGCAAGCCUGAUGCAGCCAUGCCGCGUGUAUGAAGAAGGCCUUAGGAUUGUAAAGUACUUUCAGCGGGGAGGCGUUACCCGAAGAAGAAGCACCGGCUAACUCCGUGCCAGCAGCCGCGGUAAUUC
rnacentral:rRNA from 1 species